CUUACUUUUGGAAAUGCUGCUGUUUGCUUGAAAUCAGGGUACAAUCAGGACUCGAUGGCAACCAAUGGUCAAUGGGACGCCUCGCAUUGGGCGCUCACGGGAAGACUGCAAAUGAAGCUGUGCAGGGUGACAUGGGCUGGACAGGUUUUGAAGUGAGGGAAGCUCACAGUAAAAUUGAUUAUGAAGAACGACUAAGGAAUAUGGAAGAAAGUAAAUGGAGCAUGUUUUAUUGGAAUGUGAAGAUAUCUGCCCAGCGGUCGAUUUAGCCACCACUGGCCUCCUUGAUGCCCUUGGGUUCAGCGAGAGCAAGGGGUACGUCGGACCGGCAUUUCACUAUAUUCUGGAUCGGCCAACGUGUGGGGAAUGCUUAACGCCGGCUUCACCUCCACCGCGGGUCGGCCCGGCAUGGCACUACCUACGGAAUCGACCCACGUCUGCUUCAGCUCCGCUGCGGGUCCGCCCGCAUGACACUGUCUUCGGUAUCGGCCCAUGUACUGGGAGAGCUUAACGCCUGCUUCACCUGCGCCGCGGGUCUGCCCUGCAUGACACAAUCUUCGGGAUCUGCCCACAUAUGGGGGAGUGCUUGACGCCUGCUUCACCUCUGUUGCGGGUCCUCCCGGCAUGGCACUAUCUUCGGGAUCGGCCCAGGUAUGUGCAGUGCUUAACGCCUAAAAUUAACCUGAGUAAAUUAACCUCAGCAGUAUGAAGAGAUAAAGAAAAAGUGUGUCAUAUUACAGUCUGCAAUGUGUAAAUAAUUACUUUGCAAGUUUGCCAUCUUAUGUGAUUAAUGCAGUAAAAAUAACCUGUUGCUACUGUUAAUAACUUAUUGCUUUUCCAGUGGCUUUGAAUUUUACCCCUAAGGCUCCAAGAACCAGCACUCAUCCCCUGCUGCCACCAGCCAUUGCUCAUCCAUUCCCUUAUACGUAAUAAAUUUGAUCUAGAAGCUCGUG